AUGCAACCUGUCAAUUUCCAAAUCUUAUCAACAUAUACCAUUCAAUAUCUCGACCAGCUUCCGUAUGAAGAUCUGCGCCACCUGCGACUUGGAUUCACUCCACUUCCCUCCGCCAUCACCGACUCAACUCCGGCCACGUUGCACCGAACACCGCGGGAGUUCCACAGAUUACCCCCAGCCGAACGACUCUACUCCGCUGCGAUACUGCCCCUGGCACCACUCCGCCGUGGAACCCGCAUCUUCAACUCUCAGAUCUCAGUGCUGCCACCAUCGGUACGUAUCCUUUCUAUUUGUUAUGGGUGA